UGGGGAAUAUUGCACAAUGGAGGGAACUCUGAUGCAGCGACGCCGCGUGAGUGAAGAAGGUCUUCGGAUCGUAAAACUCUGUCCUUGGUGAAGAAAAGGACGGUAGCCAAGGAGGAAGCCCCGGCUAACUACGUGCCAGCAGCCGCGGUAAUACGUAGGGGGCGAGCGUUGUCCGGAUUUACUGGGCGUAAAGGGUGAGUAGGCGGUUAUAUAUGUCAGGUGUAAAAAGCUAUGGCUUAACCAUAGUAAGCACUUGAAACUGUAUGACUUGAGUGCAGGAGAGGUAAGCGGAAUUCCUAGUGUAGCGGUGAAAUGCGUAGAUAUUAGGAGGAACACCGGUGGCGAAGGCGGCUUACUGGACUGUAACUGACGCUGAGUCACGAAAGCGUGGGUAGCAAACAG
rnacentral:rRNA from 1 species